rnacentral:rRNA from 1 species
GACGGAGGAUGCAAGUGUUAUCCGGAAUCACUGGGCGUAAAGCGUCUGUAGGUGGUUUAAAAGUCUAUUGUUAAAAAUUGAAGCUUAACUUCAAAGAUGCAAUGGAAACUUUUAAACUUGAGUAUGGUAGGGGUAGAGGGAAUUUCCAGUGGAGCGGUGAAUGCGUAGAUAUUGGAAAGACCACCAAUGGCGAAGGCACUCUACUGGGCCAUUACUGACACUGAGAGACGAAAGCUAGGGGA